GGCUAGGCUAAGUAGCUGCUUCCUCAGCUUCCAGGGACCUUUGCUCAUCUGGUUGUGCCAGUGGAUGAAGGACCUCCAGUUCAGCAACACAGCUGCUGGUGACCAUGUCGUGAGCCUUAUCUACGAAAGGCUACUGAGCUCCACAGGGGUGCCUGUUCCCUCAGACUCAGCAUGCUUGCAGUGGGAUAGGGCUCUGGAGAGGUGAGGUUCCAGGACAUAAUACUGAAGUCAUCUGCCCAGGU